UACGAAGGGAGCUAGCGUUGUUCGGAAUCACUGGGCGUAAAGCGCACGUAGGCGGAUGUGUCAGUCAGGGGUGAAAUCCCGGAGCUCAACUUCGGAACUGCCUUUGAUACAGCACGUCUUGAGUCCGGAAGAGGUGGGUGGAAUUCCUAGUGUAGAGGUGAAAUUCGUAGAUAUUAGGAAGAACACCUGUGGCGAAAGCGGCGCACUGGACCAUAACUGACGCUGAGGCGCGAAAGCUAGGGGAGCAAACAGG
rnacentral:rRNA from 1 species